rnacentral:rRNA from 1 species
CCUACGGGCGACUGCAGUGGGGAAUCUUUCACAAUGGGGGGAACCCUGAUGCAGCGACGCCGCGUGAGUGAAGAAGUAUUUCGGUAUGUAAAGCUCUAUCAGCAGGGAAGAAAAUGACGGUAACUGACUAAGAAGCCCCGGCUAACUACGUGCCAGCAGCCGCGGUAAUACGUAGGGGGCGAGCUUUAUCCGGAUUUACUGGGUGUAAAGGGAGCGUAGACGGUUAUGCAAGACUGAAGUGAAAGCCGAAGGCUCAACCAUGGGACUGUUUUGGAAACUGUAAAACUGGAGUGCAGGAGAGGUAAGCGGAAUUCCUAGUGUAGGGGUGAAAUGCGUAGAUAUUAGGAGGAACACCAGUGGCGAAGGCGGGUUACUGGACUGUAACUGACGUUGAGGCACGAAGGCGUGGGGAGCAAACGGGAUUAGAUACCCGUGUAGUC